rnacentral:ncRNA from 3 species
GUUAACCUGCGGAAGGAUCAUUA